rnacentral:lncRNA from 1 species
UAAAUAAAUAAUAAAAUGAUGGGAAAGUUGAGUCUCAAAGAGGUGAAAGACUUGGUAAGGCACGCUUAUUGGAGUGGCUGGCCCAGGAUUAAACAGACACAGGCCAGAUGCCCUUCUCAAAAGGCUCUGUGAGCCCAGAGGCUCCAGGGGAGGGAGCCAGGAAGGUUACAGGCUGGCUGGGCACUUGCAGACGGGAACCCUGGACACCACCCUUCUGAAGGCUGGGGCAUGGUCCAGUGUGCUGACCUGGCAGCCUCCAAGUCCAAACCCACAGGGGUGGGCACCUCGUAGUCCCAGGGUGAGGCUGCCGUGGCCAGUGGGAUGUAAGGCCUCAUGAGAGCUGGGAGGGGUCUGGAACAGGGCAUCUCCUUGGGAGCAGUAUCUCCCCCAGGACUUUCUGGAAAUUCGUGGGGAGGAGGGUUUGCCUCAGUGACUGGAAGGGUGGUGCUCCUGACACAUGAGGGGCCCUGCCAGGGAAACAAGGCUCUGGGCAGAUCCUGUAUGACCAAGCAUCACCCCAAACCCCACAUGAGCUCCAUGUGUCCUGCUGGACAUUUAUGCAAUAUUACCAGGGGCAGGAGCUCCACAAAGUUUAGAAGGACCAUGUCAUUUCAUUUCAUCCUCAUAGGACCGCCAGGCCCAGCUAGCACAGAGUCCCCAGCAGUGUUGACUGAUUAAUCAAUGAGGAAAAUGAAAUAGAGGCUCAGAGACGGGGAGGGAGUUGUGCAGGUCACACAGCAAAGCCACAGUCCUGAGGGUGGAACCCAGGUUUGCGGCUCCUCAGAUCCACCUCUUUGCAUCACAGAACCUCUUGAAUGGACAGAGAACAGCCUCGGGUUCAGAGGCAGACAGAAAAUAAGAUCUAGCUAGAACUGACUAACUGUGUUUCAUUCUUGCUUUAUGUAUUUUUAGGGUGUUAAAAGGAAAACUUUAGACAUAUUAAAUUUAACAGAGUUUAUCUGAGUAAAGAACAAGUCAUGAAUUGGGCAGCUGUCAGGGACAGCAGAGGUUUGGGGAGCUCAGCCUGCUAUUUGUUACAAAUAUAUGCUUCUAAAUUAGAGUUUGAUUUCUUCACAUACUAAGUUCGGCUUCAGAUCAUCACUCAAAGUACAGAGACAGCCUCAGGCUAAUGGCCUCUUGCUUCUUUUUUUUUUUUUUUUUGAGACAGAGUCUUGAGUCUUGCUCAGUCACCCAGGCUAGAGUGCAGGCUAGAGCGCAGUGGUGCGAUCUUGGCUCACUGCAAGCUCUGCCUCCUGGGUUCACGGCAUUCUCCUGCCUCAGCCUCCCGAGUAGCUGGGACUACAGGCGCCCGCCACCAUGCCUGGCUAAUUUUGGUUUUGUAUUUUUAGUAGAGACGAGGUUUCACCAUGUUAGCCAGGAUGGUCUCGACCUCCUGACCUCAUGAUCCACCCGCCUCGGCCUCCCAAAGUGCUGGGAUUACAGGCGUGAGCCACCGCGCCUGGCCACCUCUUGAUUCUUAAAUUUAACAAUGGUUACUAUUUAUGGCAAGAGAUGCUGGGUUUUCAUUAUUGGUUAUAAUAUUUACCACUACAUAAAAUAUGUAUUAGUAAAUAAAAGGACAAAUGACCAAAAAUGUCUGCAGCUUAGGAAUCUGCAUUAUCCUAUCACGUAGGGUCCACCCCUCUCU